AUGAAGACCGAGCACAGAGCUGCCAGCUCUGUUUCUGCUCUCUCCUCAGACAUGCCUCCUCUGUUGUUCUUGGUGCUGCUGGCUGUUGUCAGCCUCGAAUGCAGAGCACAGACCGACAGCGUGCUGCAACCAGAGAGAGACUUGAUGGCUACUGAAGGAGGCAACGCAACUCUGCAAUGUCUCUAUGACACAAGUGGAUCCAACCAUUACCUCUACUGGUACAGACUGGAGGGAGGCAGCAGUCCCACAUUCAUCCUGAGCCGCUUUAAGAUUGGCGAUGGGAAAACAACGGAGAAGAGAUUUUCCUCCAGCCUGGAUGCCACUGCUAGAUCAGUUCCUCUGACGAUCCAGGAUCUUCGUCCGUCAGACUCUGCUGUGUACUACUGCGCUGUGCAGCCCACAGUGACAGGAAACACCAGAACCCUAAGAGUCAACAGAAGCAAAACUCACAUGCCCGAUGACAGUCCAGGAAGCCAGGCUCUCCCCGUCACCAUCGCCAGCUGCAGCACGGCUGGACCCGGUUUGGCUCCAUGGACCCUGGACCUGGUUUGGCUCCAUGGACCCUGGACCCGGUAUGGCUCCAUGGACCCUGGACCCGGUUUGGCUCCAUGGACCCUAAACGUCUUCAGGGCCCGUCCAUGA